AUUGAACGCUGGCGGCAGGCCUAACACAUGCAAGUCGAACGGUAACAGGAAGAAGCUUGCUUCUUUGCUGACGAGUGGCGGACGGGUGAGAAAUGUCUGGGAAACUGCCUGAUGGAGGGGGAUAACUACUGGAAACGGUAGCUAAUACCGCAUAACGUCGCAAGACCAAAGAGGGGGACCUUCGGGCCUCUUGCCAUCGGAUGUGCCCAGAUGGGAUUAGCUAGUAGGUGGGGUAACGGCUCACCUAGGCGACGAUCCCUAGCUGGUCUGAGAGGAUGACCAGCCACACUGGAACUGAGACACGGUCCAGACUCCUACGGGAGGCAGCAGUGGGGAAUAUUGCACAAUGGGCGCAAGCCUGAUGCAGCCAUGCCGCGUGGAUGAAGAAGGCCUUCGGGUUGUAAAGUACUUUCAGCGGGGAGGAAGGGAGUAAAGUUAAUACCUUUGCUCAUUGACGUUACCCGCAGAAGAAGCACCGGCUAACUCCGUG
rnacentral:rRNA from 1 species